rnacentral:rRNA from 1 species
GGGUUGUGAGGUUAAGCGACCAAGCGUACACGGUGGAUGCCCUGGCAGUCAGAGGCGAUGAAGGACGUGCUAAUCUGCGAAAAGCGCCGGUAAGGUGAUAUGAACCGUUAUAGCCGGCGAUGUCCGAAUGGGGAAACCCAGUGUGAUUCGUCACACUAUCAUUAACUGAAUCCAUAGGUUAAUGAGGCGAACCGGGGGAACUGAAACAUCUAAGUACCCCGAGGAAAAGAAAUCAACCGAGAUUCCCCCAGUAGCGGCGAGCGAACGGGGAGGAGCCCAGAGCCUGAAUCAGCAUGUGUGUUAGUGGAAGCGUCUGGAAAGGCGCGCGAUACAGGGUGA